UACGUAGGGGGCGAGCGUUGUCCGGAUUUAUUGGGCGUAAAGAGCUCGUAGGCGGCUUGGCAAGUCGGGUGUGAAACCUCCAGGCUCAACCUGGAGACGCCACUCGAUACUGCCAUGGCUAGAGUCCGGUAGGGGACCACGGAAUUCCUGGUGUAGCGGUGAAAUGACGCAGAUAUCAGGAGGAACACCGGUGGCGAAGGCGGUGGUCUGGGCCGGCACUGACGCUGAGGAGCGAAAGCGUGGGUAGCAAACAGG
rnacentral:rRNA from 1 species